rnacentral:rRNA from 1 species
AUUGAACGCUGGCGGAAUGCUUUACACAUGCAAGUCGAACGGCAGCACGGGGGCAGCCCUGGUGGCGAGUGGCGAACGGGUGAGUAAUACAUCGGAACGUGCCCGGUCGUGGGGGAUAACGUAGCGAAAGUUACGCUAAUACCGCAUACGAUCUGAGGAUGAAAGCGGGGGACCUUCGGGCCUCGCGCGAUCGGAGCGGCCGAUGUCAGAUUAGGUAGUUGGUGGGGUAAAGGCCUACCAAGCCGACGAUCGGUAGCGAGUCUGAGAGGACGACCAGCCACACUGGGACUGAGACACGGCCCAGACUCCUACGGGAGGCAGCAGUGGGGAAUUUUGGACAAUGUGCGCAAGCCUGAUCCAGCCAUGCCGCGUGCAGGACGAAGGCCUUCGGGUUGUAAACUGCUUUUGUACGGAACGAAAAGGCUCUGGCUAAUACCUGGGGCUCAUGACGGUACCGUAAGAAUAAGCACCGGCUAACUACGUG